rnacentral:lncRNA from 1 species
GUCUGAUUUCUGUGGCUAGGACUUCCAGGACUAUGUUGAAUAACAGUGGUGAGAGUGGACAUCCUUGUCUUGUUCCAGAUUUCAGUGGGAAGGUGUUCAGCUUUUCUCCAUCGAGUAUUAUAUUUGCUGUGGGUUUGUCAUAAAUGGCUUUAAUUAUGUUAAGGUAUGUUCCCUCUAUACCCACUUUGGUAAGAGUUUUUAUCAUGAAUGGAUGUCGGAUUUGUCAAAUGCUUUUUCUGCAUCUAUUGAGAUGAUCAUGUGGUUUUUGACUUUUUUUUCGUUAAUGUGGUGUAUGAUGUUGAUUGAUUUGCAUAUGUUGAACCAGCCUUGUGCAGCUGUGAUGAAUCCCAAUUGGUCAUGGUGUAUGAUCUUUUUGAUAUGUCAUUGGAUUCGGAUGGCUAAAAUUUUCUUGAGAAUUUAUGUGCCUAUAUUCAUCAAAGAUAUUGGCUGAUAGUUUGCUUUUUUGGUGGUAUCUUCAUCUGGUUUUGGAAUUAGGGUGAUGGUGGAAUCAUAGAAUGUGUUUGGAAGUGUUCCUUCUUCUUCAACCUUUUGAAAAAGUACUAAGGAGGAAGUUCCUCUUUGUAUGUUUGGUAGAAUUCACCCAUGAAGCCAUCUGGUCCUGGACUUGUAUUUGUAGGGAGGAGUGUUUGAUGACAUUCAAUUUCAUUUCUAGUGAUCAGUCUGUUUGGUUGAUCUAUUUCUUGAUUCAGUUUUGGCAGGCUAUAAGUCUCUAGAAAAUUGUCCAUUUCUUCCAGGUUGUCAAAUUUGUUGGCAUACAAUUGUUCAUAGUAUUCUCUCAUGGGUUUUAGUAUUUCUGUAGUAUCCAUUGUGACUUCUCUUUUUUCAUUUCUGAUUUUGUUUAUUUGGGUUUUUUCUUUCCUCUUCUUGGUGAGUCUAGCCAGAGGUUUGUCAAUUUUGUUUACUUUUUCAAAGAACCAGCUCUUGGUUUUAUUGAUUUCUUCAAUAGUUUUUUUGAAUCUUUUAUUGAUUUCCUCUUUGAUUUUUAUGAUUUCCUUCCUUCUGCUGACUUUAGGUUUUGUUUGUUCUUCUUUUUCUAAUUCAUUUAAGUGCCGAGUUAAGUUGUCGAUUUGAGAUUUUUCUUUUUUGAGGAAGGCCUAUAGUGCUAUGAAUUUCCCUCUGAGCACUGCUUUUGCAGCAUCCCACAGAUUUUGAGUGGAUGUGUAUUUUUUAUCAUUUGUCUCGAGGUAUUUUUUUAAUUUCUUUCCUAAUCUCCUCAUUGACCCAUUGGUUUUUUAGUAGCAUGUUGUUUAGUCUCCAUGUAGUUAUUUUUUUCUCAUUUCUUUUCCUGUGGUUGAUUUCUAGUUUCAUGCCAUUGUAGUAAGAAAAAAUACUUGAAAUAAUUUCUAUAUUCUUAAAUUUUUUAAGGUUAGCUCUGUGCCCCAGUAUGUGAUCAAUUCUUGAGAAUGUUCCAUGUGCACCUGAGAAAAAGGUAUAUUCUGAUUUUUUUGGAUGUAAUGUCCCGAAAAUGUCAAUUAAGUCUAUCUUUAGGAUCUCUGUUGCCUUGCUGAUUUUCUGUCUAGAGGAUCUGUCCAUUGAUAUGAGUGGAAUGUUAAAGUCUCCUACUAUGAUUGUAUUCCCAUCAAUUUUCCCUUUUAUGCCUGUUAGUACUUGUUGUAGGUAUCUGGGUGUUCCUAUAUUAGGGGCAUGUGUAUUGAUGAUUGUAAUAUUCCUUUCUCAAACAGAUCCUUUUAUCAUUAAAUAGUGUUCUUCUUUGUCUUUCUUUGUGGCCAUCAUUUUAAAGUCUAUUUUGUCUGAGUAUUACAUCUCCUGCUUUCCUGUCUUGUCUAUUGGCAUGAAAUAUCUUUUCCCAUCCCCUUACUUUCAAUCUAUAUAUGUCCUUUGCUCUAAGUUGAGUUUCUUGUAGGCAGCAGAUUGAAGGUUUUUGGUUUUUUAUCCAAUCUGCAGCUCUGUGUCUUUUGAAUGGAGCAUUUAGUCUAUUGACAUUUAAGGGGAUUAUUGAUAGAUACGUAUUUAUUGCCAUUUUAUACCUUGUUUUCCAGUUGAUUCUACGUUUAUCUUUUCUUUUUUUUGGCUGGAUGACAUCCAUUUAUUUCAUGCCUGAGUACUUUUAUUUUCAGUUUUAGUGAAUGUAAUGUUUGGUUUUGAUUUGCAGUUGCCCUGUUUUUUAAGCACGUUAAGCCCUUCCUAUAUCUGCUUGCUUUUGCCUGAUAGUCAUAUAGGCUCAGACACAUCGUUAAAAUAAAAAAAAAAAAAAA